rnacentral:rRNA from 1 species
ACGCUCGACACCUACGGAGGCAGCAGUGGGGAAUAUUGCACAAUGGGGGAAACCCUGAUGCAGCGACGCCGCGUGAAGGAAGAAGUAUCUCGGUAUGUAAACUUCUAUCAGCAGGGAANAAAAUGACGGUACCUGACUAAGAAGCCCCGGNUAACUACGUGCCAGCAGCCGNGGUAAUCUGAGCGGGCUGGCAAGGC